rnacentral:rRNA from 1 species
GACGAACGCUGGCGGCGUGCCUAAUACAUGCAAGUAGGACGCACAGUCUAUACCGUAGCUUGCUACACCAUAGGCUGUGAGUUGCGAACGGGUGAGUAACGCGUAGGUAACCUGCCUAUUAGAGGGGGAUAACUAUUGGAAACGAUAGCUAAUACCGCAUAACAGUAUGUAACACAUGUUAGAUGCUUGAAAGAUGCAAUUGCAUCGCUAGUAGAUGGACCUGCGUUGUAUUAGCUAGUAGGUAGGGUAAUGGCCUACCUAGGCGACGAUACAUAGCCGACCUGAGAGGGUGAUCGGCCACACUGGGACUGAGACACGGCCCAGACUCCUACGGGAGGCAGCAGUAGGGAAUCUUCGGCAAUGGGGGGAACCCUGACCGAGCAACGCCGCGUGAGUGAAGAAGGUUUUCGGAUCGUAAAGCUCUGUUGUUAAGGAAGAACGAGUGUGAGAAUGGAAAGUUCAUACUGUGACG